GCGGGCGUAGCUCAGCGGCUAGAGUACAAGCUUGCCAUGCUUGGUGUCGUGGGUUCGAAUCCCAUCGCCCGCU
rnacentral:tRNA from 1 species